rnacentral:rRNA from 1 species
AUUGAACGCUGGCGGCAGGCCUAACACAUGCAAGUCGAGCGGAUGAAGGGAGCUUGCUCCUGGAUUCAGCGGCGGACGGGUGAGUAAUGCCUAGGAAUCUGCCUGGUAGUGGGGGGUAACGUCCGGAAACGGGCGCUAAUACCGCAUACGUCCUGAGGGAGAAAGUGGGGGAUCUUCGGACCUCACGCUAUCAGAUGAGCCUAGGUCGGAUUAGCUAGUUGGUGGGGUAAAGGCCUACCAAGGCGACGAUCCGUAACUGGUCUGAGAGGAUGAUCAGUCACACUGAACGUGAGACAGGGCCCAGACUCCUGCGGGAGGCAGAAGGGGGGAAUUUUGAAAAAUGGGCAAAAGCCUGACCCAGCCAUGCCGCGUGUGUAAAGAAGGUCUUCGAAUUGUAAGGAACUUUAAGUUGGGAGAAAGGGCAGUAAGUUAAUACCUUCCUGUUUUGACUUUACAAAAAAAAUAAGCACCGGCUAACUUCGGG